GAUGAACGCUGGCGGCGUGCCUAAUACAUGCAAGUCGAGCGAACGGACGAGAAGCUUGCUUCUCUGAUGUUAGCGGCGGACGGGUGAGUAACACGUGGAUAACCUACCUAUAAGACUGGGAUAACUUCGGGAAACCGGAGCUAAUACCGGAUGAUAUUUUGAACCGCAUGGUUCAAAAGUGAAAGACGGCCUUGCUGUCACUUAUAGAUGGAUCCGCGCUGCAUUAGCUAGUUGGUAAGGUAACGGCUUACCAAGGCAACGAUGCAUAGCCGACCUGAGAGGGUGAUCGGCCACACUGGAACUGAGACACGGUCCAGACUCCUACGGGAGGCAGCAGUAGGGAAUCUUCCGCAAUGUGCGAAAGCCUGACGGAGCAACGCCGCGUGAGUGAUGAAGGUCUUCGGAUCGUAAAACUCUGUUAUUAGGGAAGAACAUAUGUGUAAGUAACUGUGCACAUCUUGACGGUACCUAAUCAGAAAGCCACGGCUAACUACGUG
rnacentral:rRNA from 1 species